GGGGGUGGGGUGGGGUGGGGGAGCUUGUUUAUUCAUUCUUCUUUACAGAGCAUCAAUUCGUUAAUUCUUCUUUACAGAGCAUCAAUUCGUUAGUGAUGUUUUGAUCCAGGUAUUUAUUGUGUAGGAUGACAAAAUGGAGAAAAGAAAUGCUAGUUCAUUUAAACUUUUCUUAUCUACUGUUUGCUUCCAGUUUUAGUAUCUCAAAAUGGAGAGUUUUUUUAAUCUCCUCAAAUUUUAUUAACAAACACAUAAGGUACAAAAGGUUACGCAUCGUAGCAUAUAGUUUUUCUUUUUUUUUUUGAAAAUUUGAUAUAUAUAGUUUUUCAAUAGUUAUU
rnacentral:lncRNA from 1 species